rnacentral:rRNA from 1 species
UACGUAGGGUGCAGGCGUUAAUCGGAAUUACUGGGCGUAAAGCGUGCGCAGGCGGUUUCUUAAGUCAGAUGUGAAAGCCCCGGGCUUAACCUGGGAACUGCGUUUGAAACUGGGGAGCUGGAGUGUAGAAGAGGGGGGUGGAAUUCCAGGUGUAGCAGUGAAAUGCGUAGAGAUCUGGAGGAACACCGAUGGCGAAGGCAGCCCCCUGGGCUAACACUGACGCUCAUGCACGAAAGCGUGGGGAGCAAACAGG